CUCCUGCCCUGAAGUGUUGGGUAAGUCCCGCAACGAGCGCAACCCCUAUCAUUAGUUGCCAACAGGUAAAGCUGGAACUCUAGUGAAACUGCCGUCGUAAGACGCGAGGAAGGAGGGGAUGAUGUCAAGUCAUCAUGGCCUUUAUGCCCAGGGCUACACACGUGCUACAAUGGGGUGGACAAAGGGCUGCAACACAGUGAUGUGAAGCGAAUCCCAAAAACCACUUCUCAGUUCAGAUCGGAGUCUGCAACUCAACUCCGUGAAGCUGGAAUCGCUAGUAAUCGUAUAUCAGCAAUGAUACGGUGAAUACGUUCCCGGACCUUGCACACACCGCCCGUCAAGCCAUGGGAGCCGGGUGUACCUAAAGUCGGUAACCGCAAGGAUCUGCCUAGGGUAAAAUCGGUGACUGGGGCUAAGUCGUAACAAGGUAGCCGUA
rnacentral:rRNA from 1 species